AACAUCUAUAAACAGACCCACUAGAUAAUGUAAUAUAUUCACAAAUAAAUUUAACUUUACCUAGUAUUUAUAAUAAUGGACAAGAAUGUGAAGACAUCCGUCAGUAUGUUUUUCAGCAAAAUAUUUUACGAACACCUACCAACAGAAUUACAAUAGAUUACUCGCAAGAUGAUUAUAGAAAUAUGAUUAUCACAAAACCAACUAUUUCAAGAAAAAAAAAAUCAAAAGAGGAAAAAAGUCUCAAAAUGUAU
rnacentral:misc_RNA from 1 species